rnacentral:rRNA from 1 species
CCUACGGGAGGCAGCAGUGAGGAAUAUUGGUCAAUGGACGAGAGUCUGAACCAGCCAAGUAGCGUGAAGGAUGACUGCCCGAUGGGUUGUAAACUUCUUUUAUAAAGGAAUAAAACGAGGCACGUGUGCCUUUUUGCAUGUACUUUAUGAAUAAGGAUCGGAUAACUCCGUGCCAGCAGCCGCGGUAAUACGGAGGAUCCGAGCGUUAUCCGGAUUUAUUGGGUGUAAAGGGAGCGUAGAUGGGUUGUUAAGUCAGUUGUGAAAGUUUGCGGCUCAACCGUAAAAUUGCAAUUGAUACUGGCAGUCGUGAGUACAGUUGAGGUAGGCGGAAUUCGUGGUGUAGCGGUGAAAUGCUUAGAUAUCACGAAGAACCCCGAUUGCGAAGGCAGCUUACUAAACUGUGACUGACAUUGAUGCUCGAAAGUGUGGGUAUCAAACAGGAUUAGAUACCCGAGUAGUC